UGCCAGCAGACGCAGCUGAUGAGAUGCACU
rnacentral:piRNA from 1 species